ensembl:snRNA U6 U6 spliceosomal RNA
GUGCUGACUUCGGCAGCAUUUCUACUCAAACUGGAAUGAUACAGAGACAAUUAGCACGACCCCUUUGCAAGGACAAUGUGAAAAAUUUGCAGUUACUUAAAAAAUGCUC